rnacentral:rRNA from 1 species
GUACACACCGCCCGUCACACUAUGGGAGUCGGAAAUGCCCGAAGUCUGUGACCCAACCUACGGGAGGGAGCAGCCGAAGGCAGGUCGGAUGACUGGGGUGAAGUCGUAACAAGGUAAC